CAUGUAGGCGGAAUUGUAAGUCAGAGGUGAAAUACUGGAGCUUAACUCCGGGCCCGCCUUUGAAACUGCAGUUCUUGAGUAUGGUAGAGGGAAGCGGAAUUCCAGGUGUAGCGGUGGAAUGCGUAGAUAUCUGGAAGAACACCGGUGGCGAAGGCGGCUUCCUGGCCCAUUACUGACGCUGAGAUGCGAAAGCGUGGGGAGCAAACA
rnacentral:rRNA from 1 species